UUUAUUUGGAGUCCAUUUUUUUUUUCUUUCUAGUUUCUUGAUUGGUUUUGCAUGAUUGAGUGCACAUUUUUUUCCAUUUUAAUAAAUAUUAUCGUAUUCGUAUCGAAUUCUUAAUAAAAAUGAUAUAUUUUUAUAGGAUUUAUACUUCAAUUUGGUAAUCAUUGAGGUUUGGGUAAUGGUGUUGAAGAUAGAAUAGAUUUGAGAAUGAUUAAUAAACAUACCAAACAACACCCAUUCUGAAAACAAUCUUUCUUACCUAGUGAUGGUAAAUCACCCCUUUGCAUCAACGAGGUUGUGAUAGAGUGAUUUUAGGUUUUUUUUGGUGGCUGUUGUUGGUCAUGCAGCAGGGAGAUUUGUUUGUAAGGUUUAUCAAUUUCAUACUGAUCAAGAAAUGAGCAUUGAAUUACCAUCUGAGUUGGUAAUUAAAGUGUGAUGAUCGCUGGUGAUAGAGUCGAAAUUUUCAUUUCGAAGUUGAGAAAAUUUCACGUAUGUAAUGUAAACAUAAAAAUAUUUUUACCCUUUAUGUAAUGUUUCGUAAAUGUAAUUUUGAUGAACCCCUUGUUUCUAUCACAAAUUUUGUGAAGUUCAGUUAUAAGAUAACUUGUCUACUAUUUUUUUUUUA